GUGUGUAUGGUGUAAGUAACACGCUAACUUUUCAUGUUAAAAAUAUACCCAUGUAUUACACAC
rnacentral:tRNA from 1 species